UUCUGCUCUUCACUGGAGCGUGCCCAGUUCACAUAUCGCAGCCAGUUCCCCUUCGUGGGGUCUGUGGCGUCAACACACAUCCAGCCCCGAGCUGGGAAAUAAACCUACAGAACAAAUCUGUCUGAAGUUAGGCGUGGUAGCCUGAAUCUGCCAGUUCCAAAGAAGAGAUAAAAAGUCACCAAGUUUAG